GCCACCGGGCCCUCUGACCACCACCAGUAGGCAAUGGGUGAAGUGUCUUGCCCAAGGACACAACGACCGAGACUGUCGAACCCGGGGCUCGAACCGGCAACCGGCUUGACCCAGCAACCUUCCGGCAACCUUCCGGAAACCUUCCUAUUAGAAGACGAACUGCCAACUCUUGAGCCACGAUCACCCCAUAACCAUUCAACCUUCCAAAUCACUGAAUUCUGGGGUUCCAAUCACUUCCAUGGCCCCAGGUGUAUAACAUCAAGCACCAUAGGCAUGCUGAUUGCUUCCAGAAACAUUUGUGAACAAAUGGGUCGCUCUCAGGAGCUCAGUAAAUUCCAGCCCAGUACCCUGAUGUAAUGCCACCUGUGCUACAAGUCCAGUUGUGAAAUUUCCUCGCUACUAAAUAUUCCAAAAUGAAAGCAAUUUGGAAUAACAUCUAACCCAAGUGGUAGGCCACAUAAAAUCACUCAUUAGAUCAAUCUUUCUUUUUCAGUGUGAGCUGACUCCAUGUUGGAUGAAGGCGUCACCAAAUUUCUGCAGACUCAAUCGCUACAGACUUCCAAACUUCACCUGGCCUUCAAAUGAGCUCAAGAACAAUGUAUACAGAGCUUAAUGGAAUAGGUUUCCAUGGCCAAGCAGCUGCGUUCAAGCCCUAGCUUUGUGGAAACAGCUUGGGGAUGGCCUUUCCCAUGUUUCAAGAUAACUACACAGCAGUGCAAAAAGUAAGGUCCCUAAAGACACAGAUGAGAGAGUUUGGUAUGAAGGAACUUGACUGGCUUCCACAGAGUCCUCAAUUUAAACCAAGAUAACACCUUUGGGAUGAUUCAGAGCGGAGACUGAGAGCCAAGCCUUCUUGUCCAAUGUCAGUGUCUGACCUCACAAAUGCGCUUCUGGAAGUGGUCAAAUAUGAAUAUAUUCCUAAACCUUGUGGAAAGGGUUCCCAGAAGAGUUGAAGAUCUUAUGACACAGACCAUUCUCAUUCCAGACACGUAACAUACCAACGAUUUGUCAAAUCCCGAGGCGUCCAAUUGGAACGCGAAAGGUACCCUUCCGCGUCGCUAUGAUACGCGCCGGAUUGUGGAUGGAAUCCAAUAGAAUGACGCUCACGGCGGUAACACAUGUUCCAACUGUGUAUUCCAGCCCUAACCCUAACAUUAAUUUUAACCCUAACCAUAACCUCACCCCUAACGUUAACCACAACCUUAACAGUGUUAGAUGUUAGUGUUAGGUGUUAGUUACUGUUUUCCAAAGUGAUUCAUGAUGUGAAAGUAAAACGAAAUGUACAUGUGUAGAUUCAUUCCAAACAGUUCUUGUACAAAAGGCCCGCCAGUCGGCGGACCUGACGAACAGAGCCACAUCUGCCGAGUAAAUACAUCAGCAUACAGCUGCCGACCAGCCAAUGAGCGGUGAGGCAACCCAUCCUCUUCACCAAUCAGAAGACACAAUUCUACCUCAUCAUUACGCACACACGUCGACGCAGAGAGUUCGGUCGGAGCUGCAGGUGUGGAGAGUCAGCAGAGUUUUACUCACCAUGUGGAUUUUCGUUCUUUCUAAUGCUGUUAGCGGUGUGCGUCCAUGAGACUAAACCACACCAUCACUUCACCACACGGCAUAUAGCAUUUUACAGCCUGUUAAAUCCCCUCACUCACAUUAUGGAUGUGUACCUCGGCUUCUUGUUAAAUAAAUGAAUGAACGACA